rnacentral:rRNA from 1 species
GUGGGGGAUCUUGCGCAAUGGGCGAAAGCCUGACGCAGCGACACCGCGUGAGGGACGACGGCCCUCGGGUUGUAAACCUCUUUCGGCAGGGACGAAGCGAUCGUGACGGUACCUGCAGAAGAAGCUCCGGCUAACUACGUGCCAGCAGCCGCGGUAAGACGUAGGGAGCGAGCGUUGUCCGGAUUCAUUGGGCGUAAAGAGCGCGCAGGCGGCUUGGUAAGUCGGAUGUGAAAACCCGGAGCUCAACUCCGGGCGUGCAUCCGAAACUGCCCGGCUAGAGGUAGGUAGGGGAGAUCGGAAUUCCUGGUGUAGCGGUGGAAUGCGCAGAUAUCAGGAGGAACACCGGUGGCGAAGGCGGAUCUCUGGGCCUUACCUGACGCUCAGGCGCGAAAGCUAGGGGAGCAAACAGGAUUAGAUACCCGGGUAGUCC